AUUAAAGUCCUUCGCCGCGCCGAGUACGUGUUUGUUCGGGCUAAUCUCAGAAAUUACUAUAAUGUUAUGUGUUAA